UCCGCUUCGUACGAAGAGGAGUAAGGAUCGGACCAAGAUGUGGCGUGAGCCACUGACACGCAGCACAAUGAUGAUGUCACUGAUUCUACUGCUGGGAACACUGGGACUCCUUGUUCAGGACUCAUCAGCAGAUAUAAUAAUGACAGUCUCCUAAAUCUCAGUCUGUUAGUCCAGGAGAGACUGUCUCUAUCAGCUGUACAGCCAGUUCAAGUACUAGUGAUUAUCUCCACUGGUACCUGCAGAAACCUGGAGAAGCUCC